GAGCGGACCGACGGGAGCUUGCUCCCUUAGGUCAGCGGCGGACGGGUGAGUAACACGUGGGUAACCUGCCUGUAAGACUGGGAUAACUCCGGGAAACCGGGGCUAAUACCGGAUGCUUGAUUGAACCGCAUGGUUCCAAUCAUAAAAGGUGGCUUUCAGCUACCACUUACUGAUGGACCCGCGGCGCAUUAGCUAGUUGGUGAGGUAACGGCUCACCAAGGCGACGAUGCGUAGCCGACCUGAGAGGGUGAUCGGCCACACUGGGACUGAGACACGGCCCAGACUCCUACGGGAGGCAGCAGUAGGGAAUCUUCCGCAAUGGACGAAAGUCUGACGGAGCAACGCCGCGUGAGUGAUGAAGGUUUUCGGAUCGUAAAACUCUGUUGUUAGGGAAGAACAAGUACCGUUCGAAUAGGGCGGCACCUUGACGGUACCUAACCAGAAAGCCACGGCUAACUACGUGCCAGCAGCCGCGGUAAUACGUAGGUGGCAAGCGUUGUCCGGAAUUAUUGGGCGUAAAGCGCGCGCAGGCGGUUUCUUAAGUCUGAUGUGAAAGCCCCCGGCUCAACCGGGGAGGGUCAUUGGAAACUGGGGAACUUGAGUGCAGAAGAGGAGAGUGGAAUUCCACGUGUAGCGGUGAAAU
rnacentral:rRNA from 1 species